ensembl:lncRNA
CGUCAUGGCGCGCUACAACGUCUGGGACCACAGCCAUGACAGCCUGCUGCGGAGUUUGGUGUUCUCGGCAUCUGCUGCGAUCAGGGUCCCCAGGCGGUUCCUGUCCCUUCUUGAGCACGGGUGGGAGUCGUGGCUGCGUGGACCGUCCCAGAGUGGCAGGGCUGACUGUUGGCCGGCUUUUCUGGAAGAUGUCCUGGUAAGUGACGUCGUGAAGGCCCCAGUGCCUCCCUUCUGGAACUGGUCCCGCAUUUGUCUGAACCAUUGUUUCGUACGGAAAGUGCUCGCUGAACCUGCUUAGUAGUUCUCUGUCUACAUUGUAGCUCAAAAGUCUUUUCCAAGCCAUAAAAUAACACGGUGAACCAGGCAUGGCGGCCCACGCCGGUAAUCCAGCACCCCCGGAGGCUGGGCCCAGUUUAGGCAGUUUAGCCAGACCCUAUCUCAAAAUAAAAAGGGCUGGGAAUGUAACUCAGUGCAAAGGCCCCGGGUUCAGUCCCCGGUGCCAAGAAAAAGUUGAGACGAACAAGGAAGAAAACGGUGGUUUUUUGGUAACAAUAUGGUCAUAUGAGUUUAAGAAGCACCCUAUUAUGGUGCCACAAGGAAUAAUGGGAAGGUCCAGCUUGUCUGAUCGCCUAAGUGAGAUUACUGCUUGCCCAAAAGAGAACUUUGCUGAGAGUAACCUUGUAGCUGUGGACUCGGAACCAAGCCCAGCACACCUAAUUCAACUCUGGUCUCCUCCCUGCAGUGCUGUGGGCUCUGGGGGUACAGGACUUGGGUGGAUGUGGGUAGUAGCAAGCCUCCAGCGUGCCUGGGUCUGCUGUGACCCUGUGCAUUCCUACAGUGCUUGCUAGAACAGUUUUGAAACGGUUUGAGGCCUUGCCCUGCUCUAUCCAGAGCAAGGUUAUAGAAAUUUCAGACAAUUCUCUGCUCCUUCUGGAUCUGGUGUGUCUCAGUGUGGCAGCCACUUGCCACAUAUGGUGAAGUUAAAGCAAAUAACACGUAAAAUCCGCGUUAUUGUCCACAUAGCCACCCACAUCUUAGGUGUUCAGCAGCCAUGUGUGGCAAGUGACUGGUGUAGAUGGGAGGGACAUAGCUGUCUUUGUAGAUGUUUUGGGCGGGGUCGGCACACAAGCACAGGAAGUUGUUGAGUGUUUACUGGGCUUGGGGCAGAUUUUAUUGUAUCCUUAAAACAAGCUUUACAAGGCCUUGAAAUGAAGCUGGGGGUGGGAGCGGUAAAAGUGGGAGUAGAACCAGAGUAGCAAAGUACAAGAGCAAAGAGCUCUGCCUGAGGUUGGUGGCAAGCAGCCUUUAAAGCCAGACGGCAGAGCAAGAAAACCUUGGCCCCGUUCUGCAGGGCCUGAGUGCUGGGAGCUAGGUUUUUGAGGCAUCUCUAUAAAGUGGUUUUGGGUCUGAGGGACAUGAGCCCACAGUCAGAACAGGAUGCCAGGCAUGGGAGGAAUCUAGAAGGGGAGGGAACUUCCGGUUGGAGGGAAACACCCUUGCAUUCUGGCCCUGGUGCAGGGCUGUUGCGGGUGGUAAGGGAUGGGCUGGCUUGGAAGCUUCAGGAACAGCCGCUGGGUCUGGCACCAUCGACACCUUCUCCAAGUCUCGUGUUUCUGCCAUCGGCAUCCCUGAAGUGGGCAGGCUUCCAUGUUACCUUCGAGGAGGGGAGUCCAAGGCCUCCUUGUCCCUGCCCACACAUAGCUCGGUGGCAGCUGCCAUUCCUUGGUGUUUUCGGCAGCGGCAAUGCCAGGAUUACAGGGCUAGAAAAAACCUGAGCUGAGCCUUGUAUGGCUGUUGGGCUGUCCUAUGGACCCAUCUGGGAAGGCGAUGUGGAUACAGAAGACGCCAGCAGUCACCAAGCGAGGAGGGAGCAGCACUCGCACCUUAACUGAGCAGAUUGAAGCUCACUUGCUCCGAGUGCAGAAGGUAUCAGCAGUUCCAGGUUGGUGUGAGUGUCUUGGGCCCACGUUCUCUGCUCCGGAAUAUGGAGCCUGGCUGUGCCUCAGCCUUUCUGGCAUUUCCUGGAUGAAAGGGCAUUUAAUAAAUAUGACUUUGAAUGUG